rnacentral:rRNA from 1 species
UACGGGGGGGGCAAGCGUUGUUCGGAAUUAUUGGGCGUAAAGAGCUCGUAGGCGGUUUGUCGCGUCUGCUGUGAAAACGCGAGGCUCAACCUCGCGCCUGCAGUGGGUACGGGCAGACUAGAGUGCGGUAGGGGAGAUUGGAAUUCCUGGUGUAGCGGUGGAAUGCGCAGAUAUCAGGAGGAACACCGAUGGCGAAGGCAGAUCUCUGGGCCGUAACUGACGCUGAGGAGCGAAAGCGUGGGGAGCGAACAGG